UACGAAGGGUGCAAGCGUUACUCGGAAUUACUGGGCGUAAAGGGUGCGUAGGCGGUUGUUUAAGUUUGGUGUGAAAUCUCCCGGCUCAACUGGGAGGGUGCGCCGAAUACUGAAUGACUAGAGUGCGGGAGAGGAGAGUGGAAUUCCUGGUGUAGCGGUGAAAUGCGUAGAUAUCAGGAGGAACACCGGUGAUGUAGACGGCUCUCUGGACCGUAACUGACGCUGAGGCACGAAAGCGUGGGUAGCAAACAGG
rnacentral:rRNA from 1 species